AGAAAAAGAAAACUUUUUUUUCUUUUUCUUCUUCCUCCCGUGCGUCGCCGACUGUCCCUCUCUUCUCCUUCCGUUCGCAGCAACCGCCGCCGGCCGUCUCCAUUCCUCUUCUCCUUCCGUUCGUGCGCAGCCGCAGCCCAGCCGCCGAUCCUUUCUCCUCCGUUUUCUUCCCGCCGCAGCCCAGCCGCCCCAUCCGUUCGCACAGCAACCGCCGCCGGCCAUCUCCAUCUUCUCUUCUCCUCUCCGUUCCGUCCAAACCCAGCCGGACGUCGCUGCAACCAUCGGCCAGUUCGCGAGGCAGCCGUACGCGUCACCUUGCGGCCGCCGUACGCGUCACCUUGCGACCGCCGUCCAGAUCUGUACCGCAAGACCUUCCGCCGCUGCAGCCGUUGCUCUUCCGCCGCUGCCCAGCCGUCUCAGCCGGUUCUGUCUCCGUCGAAGCCAAGGCCGCGCCGCGUGAACCAGUAACCGCCACGCUCCCCGCUCACAACUGCCGCUCCACCUGCUAUCGACGUCGGCCGACUAGUUGCUGUAACCGUUCAGAUUUGCUGUAACCGUUCAGAAUUGCUGUAACCAUUCAGAUUCACGGUCUGUUCGCAACGGUCUCCAUCCGUGAAGCCCAGCCGCCACGUCUCAUUUGGCCGACCGCUGACCGACCCACACUUAGGAUUUUGCCGCGAGUUCGACAGUCGUGCGUUGAGGUGUUGGGAGUAACAUUAGGCUCCCUUACAUUCACAACAAGAUUGUGAAUUGUUGAAGGUUCAGUUCGCCAUUAUAUCAGGGAGUUGAAACCUACGUUGAGGAAAAUAAGUGGGAUAUGUAUCGUGAAAGUAAUUGAAUUUUGUGUUGUCAUGCUUAGGAUUGUUUCGAGGACGUUAGUGAUUAAGGAGCGUUUCGAGGACGUUAGUGAUUAAGGAGCUUCCCUAACUUUGAGGCAAAGGAAAUAAAGGUGGCAAACCGGCGAGGGGCAGGAAGGAAGCGUGAUUGCCAUAGGAAAUGUGUCAUUUUGCUUCCGCUUAUGGUUUCUUUUGAAGCUUAAGAUGUUUGGUUAAUCGCGGGACCACAAACAUAUGGUUGUCCAAAACUGGAGGGUGCCAAUGACUUGCUCACUUCAAUCCCCGAUCUGUUAUGGAGUUGGUCAGCCCCAUUCCCACAGAAGAAAGGUUUCCGUAAAGGUUCGACAGACUGAUUUGCAUUGCUGUACAAAUUUGACAGUUUUGUAGGUUGUUGUUUGGCGACAAUAGGUGGCGCUUGCGGCUGUCGAUGACCGAAAGGGUGAAACGGUUGGAUAGGGGAUGGCGCAUAGAGGCAGAUGAGAUGGACAGCGAGAUGAACAGACGGCUGUGCGUGGGCCCACGCGCCCAACAGAAGCGGCACAUGUGGUGGUUUUUGGCCGAAAUAUUGGAUGGAUGGCGACGAGGGUUGGCCCACUGUGUAGAUCAGCACCUUUUGAAUCUGGUGGAGUAGUUUUUCUAUAGUGGUGUCCACGAUGGCGGUGGCGGUAAUGUUUGUUUUGUUUAGGGUGUUUCCUAAAUUUUUUUCUAGGGGUUCGUUGUUGUUUGCUAUGAUACCAUAUUGAAAAUAAUAAACACAAAACCAAGGUUUACGUGGAAACCCAAAAAUCAGAAGAAAAACCACGAUGUUUUAAGUUUUAUUAUUUUUCUGAUAAUAAUAAUGGUACAAAUGAGGGAACUUAAAUAGGGUGUAAA